GCCUAUCACUAUGCGGGGGAAAAGAAACCAACAGGGAUUGCCCUAGUAACGGCGAGUGAAGCGGCAAUAGCUCAAAUUUGUAAUCUGUCUCUCUUUCGGGGUCCGAGUUGUAAUUUGUAGAGGGUGCUUUGGCGUUGGCGGCGGUGUAAGUUUCUUGGAACAGGACAUCACAGAGGGUGAGAAUCCCGUAUGUGGUCGCCGACCUUCGCUGUGUAAAGCCCCUUUGACGAGUCGAGUUGUUUGGGAAUGCAGCUCUAAAUGGGAGGUAAAUUUCUUUUAAAGCUAAAUACUGGCCAGAGACCGAUAGCGCACAAGUAGAGUGAUCGAAAGAUGAAAAGCACUUUGGAAAGAGAGUCAAACAGCACGUGAAAUUGUUGAAAGGGAAGCGCUUGCAGCCAGACUUGCUCGUAGUUGCUCAUCCGGGCGUUUCGCCCGGUGCACUCUUCUGCAGGCAGGCCAGCAUCAGUUUGGGCGGCCGGAUAAGGGUCUCUGUCACGUAUUUCUCUACGGAGUAACCUUAUAGGGGAGGCGUAGUACGGUCAGCCCGGACUGAGGUCCGCG
rnacentral:rRNA from 1 species